CUCCUACGGGAGGCAGCAGUAAGGAAUAUUGGUCAAUGGAUGAAAGUCUGAACCAGCCAUGCCGCGUGGAGGAUGAAGGUCCUCUGGAUUGUAAACUUCUUUUAUAUGGGACGAAAAAGGGGCUUUCUAGCUCAACUGACGGUACCAUAUGAAUAAGCACCGGCUAACUCCGUGCCAGCAGCCGCGGUAAUACGGAGGGUGCAAGCGUUAUCCGGAUUCACUGGGUUUAAAGGGAGCGUAGGUGGGCUGGUAAGUCAGUGGUGAAAUCUCCGGGCUUAACUUGGAAACUGCCAUUGAUACUAUCAGUCUUGAAUAUUGUGGAGGUCAGCGGAAUAUGUCAUGUAGCGGUGAAAUGCUUAGAUAUGACAUAGAACACCAAUUGCGAAGGCAGCUGGCUACACAUAUAUUGACACUGAGGCUCGAAAGCGUGGGGAUCAAACAGGAUUAGAUACCCUGGUAGUCCACGCCCUAAACUAUGGAUACUCGACAUACGCGAUACACUGUGUGUGUCUGAGCGAAAGCAUUAA
rnacentral:rRNA from 1 species